AUUUCUUUCAACUCGUCCUUAGCCUUGUUGAUCUCCAUGCGUAAAGACUCUUUCUCAGCUACAGCUCGAAGAUAUUGAGUACGCUUGGCCUUUAGUUCAGCAUUCUUGGCCAGCAUAGAAAGGACCUCGGAGUGAAUGACUUUCAACGUCGCUUUAAAGUCGGCAGAAAGAUUGAGCGAUGGAAGUGUCAGUGCUUGCUCUAACUUCGCACUCAAGUGCUCAAGUUCAUCCUUGUGUCUGGCAGCACUAGCCCUUCCAAUGUCCAUAUCCAUGAAGGAUACGUACUCAAA
rnacentral:lncRNA from 1 species